UUGUAUAUGGCUUUAGAGGAUAGUUUAUAUAUAAUCAAAGUUGAAGGAAACAGAUUUAAAAGGUUUCAGAAGUAGGAUUUUCUCUCAAAUGUCUUUAAGUCAUAGUCUCUAUUCACAGGAAAUACAUCCUUCGAACUAGGCAAAGAGGAGAGAAGCCCUGAGGAAGAAUUUUCCCUACCAAGAGUUCUAGAGUAUAGUUGUGAUUUCUUCAUUUUCUAGGAAGUUAACCAGGUAGAGAAAUUGAAUUUGGGGACUAGGCUGGGUAGAUAUCUUUCAAGUGUAAGAUAAAUUGGAAUUAGUUAACACAUCCUUGAGAUCUUGACCAAAUCCCUUCUCCUCAUUCAGCUGAAACUUGAGUCUUUGUAGGAAAUAUGUAAGACAAAAAGUCAGGACCCUCAAACUUUUGGAUGGGGCUAGUCAAAAUUGAGCACCUUUUGGACUAUCAUUCUGAAAUUAGAGAAUUGCAACACCAACCAGCAUUCUGAAAGUCUGUAGUUUGUAUUUUCAGUUUUGUAAUGAGCACCUUUUGGACUAUCAUAUGCGGGUUUCAUCUAAGAUGUGUAACUUGCAGAUUUCCCUUUACUGGCUUUAAUUUAAUGAUUUACAUUUGCAAAUUUACAUUUUAGGUAGACUAAAUUAUGUUCCGGGGUAGUUAAAUCGCUUGAGAUUGCCCAUUAUUGCCUUUAGUUUAAUGAUCAGCAACUGCCUGUUUAAUCAACUUAUUUUGUUUUUGUUAUGCCUAUGAAAAAUCAAAUCUGAUCUGUGUUUUAAGGCCCUGCAGCCCUGCACCAGUCUUAUUAUGCCAUGUUUGUGAAGAAGCGUGCUCAUGCUCGUUUGUGGAGCAUUGCGGCAUAUCUGUAUUUCCAGCUUGUUUAUUAAGUUCUGGCGCCAUCAUCAAUAUAUGAUCCACUCAGUAGCUGACUUGAUUCACCUUAGACCUUGAAAAUUUACAAAAAGAACUCAUAUUUAUAAAAAUGUGAUCUGAGACCUGUUGUCUGCUUCAUCGGCCAUAGGCUAUAGCUGAAAAAAGAAGGCAACUGGUGGCGGAAGAAACAACAUCCAAGAGUGGGCAAUUUACUUUCCUGAAUUGAUUCAAUCUAAGCACAAGUACAAUAGCUGCCCUGUUAAGGAGAAUGUGAAGCUCUAUGCUAACAAAUUUUAAUUUACUCAGUUAGCCAGGAGCUGAGAUGCAACUCCAUAGAGACUGUAAGCCAAAUUAAAGUUGCAGGGAAGUAGGGAAUUCAUAGUAGUUGUUGAAGACUUUAUAUGUUUUCACAGCAGUUGAAGACCUUAGUUAAAGACCUUAGUUGAAGACCUUAUCUGUUCUGUUUGAGCUCAGGCAUAUUUUUUUUUACCAUAGUUGACUAUGGUUAACUUUGCUAAACCUUUAUGGCUUUCAAAGUGUUGU